GUCGUAACAAGGUUUCCAUAGGCGGAACAUCGCAUCCUUUCGGGUACAUCUGCCGAAACCUUAGUGAACUGAUUAGGCGACUCUAAACAAGUAUAAUCCUCGGGGCUUACCCCUGAGCACUAGCCAUCUCUUGUGGAUGGCGACAUUACCAGCAUGCGAGAACAUUCAAAUUAGUUGGAUAACCCGCAGUCACAUUUGUGGCCCACAGGCUAAAUGGUAAUGGGCGUAGCUGCUAGGCACCUAUGCUUCAGAUAUAGUCGGUCCCCAGAUAUCUCUGGGAGACUUUUGGAUUUGGUGAGUCUGAGCCGCACGAGUUCCUUCGAAACCCAAUUUCCACGAGCGAGUAAACGUUCCGUAGGUGAACCUGCGGAAGGAUCAUU
rnacentral:rRNA from 1 species